AUGGCAGAGUUCUGUGAGGAGUUCCUUCAUUCCAGUCACAGCACAGGUUCCCUGGUCCAGGCAGCGCUGACUCAGCCAUCUGAGGUGUCAGCCAACAUGGGAGACACGGUCAAGAUCACCUGCUCUGGCCUUAGCAGUAGCUAUGCUUAUGCUGGCUGGUUCCAGCAGAAGGUCCCUGGCACUGCCCCUGUCACUGUGAUCUACACCAAUAGCAACAGACCCUCGGGCAUCCCUUCGCGAUUCUCCGGAUCCACAUCCGGCAACACGAACACGUUAACCAUCACUGGGGUCCAAGCCGAGGACGAGGCUGUCUAUUUCUGUGGUAGCUAUGACUACAGCAGUGGCAGUUACUAUGGUGUAUCAUGA